CAGUCGCCGCGGGAAUACGUAGGUCCCGAGCGUCGUCCGGAUUUAUUGGGCGUAAAGCGAGCGCAGGCGGUUAGAUAAGUCUGAAGUUAAAGGCUGUGGCUUAACCAUAGUACGCUUUGGAAACUGUUUAACUUGAGUGUAAGAGGGGAGAGUGGAAUUCCAUGUGUAGCGGUGAAAUGCGUAGAUAUAUGGAGGAACACCGGUGGCGAAAGCGGCUCUCUGGCUUGUAACUGACGCUGAGGCUCGAAAGCGUGGGGCGCAAACAGGAUUAGAUACCCCGGUAGUCCCUGUCUCUUAUACC
rnacentral:rRNA from 1 species